UACAUGCAAGUCGAGCGGACGGAUGGGAGCUUUGCUCCCUGAAGUCAGCGGCGGACGGGUGAGUAACACGUGGGCAACCUGCCUGUAAGACUGGGAUAACUCCGGGAAACCGGGGCUAAUACCGGAUAACUCUUUUCCUCACAUGAGGAAAAGCUGAAAGAUGGUUUCGGCUAUCACUUACAGAUGGGCCCGCGGCGCAUUAGCUAGUUGGUGAGGUAACGGCUCACCAAGGCCACGAUGCGUAGCCGACCUGAGAGGGUGAUCGGCCACACUGGGACUGAGACACGGCCCAGACUCCUACGGGAGGCAGCAGUAGGGAAUCUUCCGCAAUGGACGAAAGUCUGACGGAGCAACGCCGCGUGAGUGAUGAAGGUUUUCGGAUCGUAAAACUCUGUUGUCAGGGAAGAACAAGUACCGGAGUAACUGCCGGUACCUUGACGGUACCUGACCAGAAAGCCACGGCUAACUACGUGCCAGCAGCCGCGGUAAUACGUAGGUGGCAAGCGUUGUCCGGAAUUAUUGGGCGUAAAGCGCGCGCAGGCGGUUCCUUAAGUCUGAUGUGAAAGCCCCCGGCUCAAC
rnacentral:rRNA from 2 species